GGUUCUGCGUGAAGUCCGGAGAAGGGUGCAAACCCAGGAGGAGGCAGGAGGAAUUCAGGGAUUGGCCGUACUGUCCAAGGACACCUGAGGGAGUGGGCUUCUCCAAAAGCCACAAGAGAAAGAAGAAUCCUUAGCAUCUGGGAUUGUCUACAGUGAUUCUGUCCAAAGAUAGGGGACUGGCUGGUCCUUUUCCAGGAGACCAGCACACAUCAGGCAUAAUGCUACUGUCUCAUCUGUGUCCCAAGCUAAAGUACAGCGUGACCUUAAAAACAAAACAAAACAAGACAAAACAAAAAAACCAACAAUCCAGCCCUCAGGUUCCUCCCCAGGGUCCACUUCUAUGCCACCCCAGUUUCCAUGCUGCCACUCACGCCACAGUGACAUCAGCCUGAGCUGCACAAUCAUCCAAGUCCUACCAACAGCUGCAUUCACGAUGAUUUCCCUUGGAGCAAGGCAUGCCAGCUCAGAACUUGAUGACUUGGGGUCAUGGACAGAUGUCUUAAAACUUCUCUGAUGUUUAAAGUUUAAAAUGUUCGGCUACGUCUUAUUAUCGCUCAUGUUUUCUCUUUCAACAAAAUUGGAGAA